rnacentral:rRNA from 1 species
UGGGGAAUCUUGCGCAAUGGGGGAAACCCUGACGCAGCAACGCCGCGUGGGUGAUGAAGGCCUUCGGGUCGUAAAGCCCUGUCAGGUGGGAAGAAACUUGUGGAUGUUAAUACCAUCCAUGCUUGACGGUACCACCGGAGGAAGCACCGGCUAACUCCGUGCCAGCAGCCGCGGUAAUACGGAGGGUGCAAGCGUUGUUCGGAAUUAUUGGGCGUAAAGCGCGUGUAGGUGGUCGUGUAAGUCAGAUGUGAAAAUCUAAAGCUUAACUUUGGACCUGCGUUUGAAACUGUCGGUCUUGAGUACGGGAGAGGAAAGUGGAAUUCCUGGUGUAGCGGUGAAAUGCGUAGAUAUCAGGAGGAACACCGGUGGCGAAGGCGGCUUUCUAGCCCGAUACUGACGCUGAGACACGAAGGCUAGGGGAGCAAACAGGAUUAGAUACCCUGGUAGUCCUAGCGGUAAACGUUGGGCACUAGGUGUUGUCCCUUAACCGGGGCAGUGCCGCAGCUAACGCAUUAAGUGCCCCGCCUGGGGAGUACGACCGCAAGGUUG